rnacentral:rRNA from 1 species
AUUGAACGCUGGCGGCAAGCCUAACACAUGCAAGUCGAACGAGUGGCGGACGGGUGAGUAAUGUCUGGGAAACUGCCUGAUGGAGGGGGAUAACUACUGGAACCGGUAUCUAAUACCGCAUACCAUCGGAUGUGCCCAGAUGGUCUUAGCUAGUAGGUGGGGUAAAGGCUCACCUAGGCGACGAUCCCUAGCUGUUCUGAGAGGAUGACCAGCCACACUGGAACGUAGACAAGUUCCAGACUCCUACGGGAGGCAGCAGUGGGGAAUAUUGCACAAUUGGCGCAAGCCUGAUGCAGCCAUGCCGCGUGUAGGAAGAAGGCCUUCGAGUUGUAAAGUACUUUCAGCGGGGAGGCGUUACCCGCAGAAGAAGCAACGGCUAACUCCGUGCCAGCAGCCGCGGUAAUUC